rnacentral:rRNA from 1 species
AACGAACGCUGGCGGCAGGCUUAACACAUGCAAGUCGAGCGAAGAUACUUAAAAUGAGAGCUUCGGCAGGAUUUUUAUUUAUUUUAGUGGCGGACGGGUGAGUAACGUGUGGGCAACCUGCCCUAUACUGGGGAAUAAUCACUGGAAACGGUGACUAAUACCGCAUGUCAUUACGGAAGGGCAUCCUUCUGUAAGAAAAGGAGAAAUUCGGUAUAGGAUGGGCCCGCAUCUGAUUAGCUAGUUGGUGAGAUAAAAGCCCACCAAGGCGACGAUCAGUCGCCGACCUGAGCGGGUGAUCGGCCACAUUGGGACUGAGACACGGCCCAAACUCCUACGGGAGGCAGCAGUGGGGAAUAUUGCACAAUGGGGUAAACCCUGAUGCAGCAACGCCGCGUGAAGGAUGAAGGUUUUCGGAUCGUAAACUUCUAUCAAUAGGGACGAAGAAAGUGACGGUACCUAAAUAAGAAGCCCCGGCUAACUACGUGCCAGCCGCCGCGGUAAUAC